CCUACGGGGGGCUGCAGUAAGGAAUAUUGGUCAAUGGACGCAAGUCUGAACCAGCCAUGCCGCGUGGAGGAUGAAGGUCCUCUGGAUUGUAAACUUCUUUUAUUUGGGAAGAAACUCCCGAUUUCCAUCGGGAUUGACGGUACCAGAUGAAUAAGCACCGGCUAACUCCGUGCUAGCAGCCGCGGUAAUACGGAGGGUGCAAGCGUUAUCCGGAUUCACGGGGGCGAAAGUGGGCGGGGAUGGGCGGGGAUAAAUCUCCGGGCUUAACCCGGAAACUGCCAUUGAUACUAUUUGUCUUGAAUACUCUGGAGGUGAGCGGAAUAUGUCAUGUAGCGGUGAAAUGCUUAGAUAUGACAUAGAACACCCAUUGCGAAGGCAGCUCACUACGGAAAUAUUGACGCUGAGGCACGAAAGCGUGGGGAUCAAACAGGAUUAGAUACCCGUGUAGUC
rnacentral:rRNA from 1 species